rnacentral:rRNA from 1 species
GACGAACGCUGGCGGCGUGCUUAACACAUGCAAGUCGAACGGAAAGGCCCUGCUUUUGUGGGGUGCUCGAGUGGCGAACGGGUGAGUAACACGUGAGUAACCUGCCCUUGACUUUGGGAUAACUUCAGGAAACUGGGGCUAAUACCGGAUAGGAGCUCCUGCUGCAUGGUGGGGGUUGGAAAGUUUCGGCGGUUGGGGAUGGACUCGCGGCUUAUCAGCUUGUUGGUGGGGUAGUGGCUUACCAAGGCUUUGACGGGUAGCCGGCCUGAGAGGGUGACCGGCCACAUUGGGACUGAGAUACGGCCAAGACUCCUACGGGAGGCAGCAGUGGGGAAUUGCACAAUGGGCGGAAGCCUGAUGCAGCAACGCCGCGUGCGGGAUGACGGCCUUCGGGUUGUAAACCGCUUUCGCCUGUGACGAAGCGUGAGUGACGGUAAUGGGUAAAGAAGCACCGGCUAACUACGUG